rnacentral:sRNA from 2 species
UUGGCCAGGGAUUUUAAACAACAUUUACUUCAUUCUAUUGUGUCAACAACAAUUGGCUUGAUGCGAGAUUGACAUGUAUGUCCAAUGGGCCUAAUGGAAGUUCUGGAAUCGUGCCCCUUACUCUCGGGUUGAUCUUAUUGUGGCCAUGUUUAUUUUCACCCUCGAGGAAGCCGCCGUUGUGACGGCAUUUCUGAAACUCGCUGCAGAAUUACUUGCCUUGCCCAAUUUUGGAUGGAGUAGGUUAUGAACAUAUGAUUUUCUAGCUACUAGUUGGCCAUUUGUAUGAUGGAGAAGUAUCUACAGCCUGUACACUGUUUACACCUUGCGGCCCCCUUUUUUGGAAAUAUUUACAACAGUCGUGUGAAACGCUACUGAUCAUCAAUGUUGGCCCCGACAUAAGUAUAGCAUCAAGCUCAAGUAUGCCCAUCAUGGUAUCUCUCAUCCCUUGGGAUUGGCCGCUCAAGUUGACCAGUUUUGGGUUUCUAUCAAUUAUGUUGGGCGCACCAUCGACGCGCAUAGGUUUCGUGACUUUGGUACUUUUGGAGG